rnacentral:rRNA from 1 species
UACGUAGGGAGCGAGCGUUGUCCGGAUUCAUUGGGCGUAAAGAGCUCGUAGGCGGCUUGGUAAGUCGGAUGUGAAACCUCCAGGCUCAACCUGGAGUCGCCAUCCGAUACUGCCAUGGCUAGAGUCCGGUAGGGGCCCACGGAAUUCCUGGUGUAGCGGUGAAAUGCGCAGAUAUCAGGAGGAACACCGGUGGCGAAGGCGGCUCACUGGCUCGUAACUGACGCUCAGGCGCGACAGCGUGGGGAUCAAACAGG